rnacentral:rRNA from 1 species
CCUGCAUGAAGUUGGAAUUGCUAGUAAUCGCGGAUCAGCAUGCCGCGGUGAAUACGUUCCCGGGCCUUGUACACACCGCCCGUCACACCAUGAGAGUCGGGAACACCCGAAGUCCGUAGUCUAACCGCAAGGAGGGCGCGGCCUAAGGUGGGGUAGAUGAUUGGGGUGAAGUCGUAACAAGGUAAC